rnacentral:pre_miRNA from 1 species
AGCCUUCUGAAUCCGUAUCGAGAUUUCAUCAGAUAUCAAACUAUCAGGACCAAUGAAACUCCCAAGACAAGUGAAGUG